rnacentral:tRNA from 1 species
GCGCCGUUAGUCUAGUGGUAGGAUUCCGGCCUUCCAAGCCGGUAACCCGGGUUCGAUCCCCGGACGGCGCA